rnacentral:lncRNA from 1 species
AAACUAUGAGGCAGGUGAUACUUCGCUCCUCAAACUUUAAUUUAUUAUAAUUUCUGACUCAAACUUUUAUAAUUGUUGCUAUCAAAUUUCACAAUCUAAUUUAGUGGACUAGAUAUUGACGCAGGGCAUCAUCAAUCACGACACUGCUAUAGCAUUUCUAUAGCAAUGAUUCAUCAUUAACUUAAUUGUAAUAAUUUUGAGAGUUCUAAAUAUAAAUUAUAAUAAAUUAAAGUUUGAGAAUCAAAUAUCACCGGUCCCAUAGUGUGAGGAGAAAUAUGCAAUUUAACCUAAAUAAUAGAAUCUAAAAAGCUUCCUAGAUUUGGGGCAAAGCAAACAAAAGUUGAAAUAUUUAGCGAUUUUCGACUUUUUUUCUUUUUUUGAGAGAGACACGUAGCACGCUACCCGCUUCGUUUUAUUUCAUUUAGAAAUAAACUUAGCUGGAAAUAUGAAUCAACUAGAAUUCGAACUUGAGACAUCGAGUACCAACUAUCAAGCCCUUUGCCACUUGCUCCAAAGACAGUCGGUGCGAUUUUCGGAUCUUAAAUAUUUUACAAGAUGAAAUUGUA